rnacentral:rRNA from 1 species
UGGGGAAUAUUGGGCAAUGGGGGAAACCCUGACCCAGCAACGCCGCGUGAAGGAAGAAGGCUUUCGGGUUGUAAACUUCUUUUACCAGGGACGAAGAACGUGACGGUACCUGGAGAAAAAGCCACGGCUAACUACGUGCCAGCAGCCGCGGUAAUACGUAGGUGGCAAGCGUUGUCCGGAUUUACUGGGUGUAAAGGGCGUGUAGGCGGAGAUGCAAGUCAGGAGUGAAAUCCAUGGGCUUAACCCAUGAACUGCUUUUGAAACUGCAUCCCUUGAGUAUCGGAGAGGCAGGCGGAAUUCCUAGUGUAGCGGUGAAAUGCGUAGAUAUUAGGAGGAACACCAGUGGCGAAGGCGGCCUGCUGGACGACAACUGACGCUGAGGCGCGAAAGCGUGGGGAGCAAACAGG